CCAAUCGGCCAAUCAUCCCCACCAGUCCACCACGGAAUGUUCCGCGCCUGGCCUUCUCGACCGUGCGUCGGGGCCUCGGGGGAACCCCAAUCCGCGUGUGGAGGCGCCGAGGUGGAGGCGGCGGCGGCGCGGCGACGCCUUCUCGCGAAACCCUAGAUGCCGCUUCCCCGUCUCACUCGCCGUCGUCGUCCGCAGUGGGGCUGACCGCAGCCGUAGAGCUUGCGCCGCUCGCGGUCUUCGCCAUGGCGGUGCUCGACUGCUCGCCCCUCCUCGACUCCUAGGCCCCGUCGUUGACUUCAUCAGGUACCAGAAACAAGUUGUGGACAGUUGAUAUCAUAAAAGUGUGAGGAUCUGUAGGAAAUUUGAAAAGGUCUAAUACCAUUUUGUAUCAUCUUCCACAUGGUGCUCCUACGACCUUAUUGUCUUGUGUACUGAGCUAUGAUCCUGAGGUUCAGAUUGUGAGUUUCGAAGGUGACAAACACAGCCACAUGUCUGAUGAAUCUGUUGUCCACGAAUUGUAUGAAUUGGUCUCGACAACCGACGUCUCAUCAAUAGUAUGGGCAUUUGCAAUUGAGCCAUAUGGAAUAGGCAUUUGUAACGUGCAGAUACCAAGAUAUUUUGUUAUAUAAGGCUCGACAGAAGAUAGCAAAUAGCUUAAAGAUUGUUCCAGCCGGCUUAACGGAAGAGUGUAAAAUUGCUUAACGUUGUACUAUGGACAUUUUUUAUGCGCUUAUACGUUGUCAAGAAUC